AGGGAUGUAAAACUAUGUAAGCUAACUUAAAUCUGAAUAUGAAAAGCAAAAUAAUAAAACAAUAGCCUAUCAAAAAUAAAUAAAACAAUAAUCUAAUAUGGAAAGUAAGGAAGUCUAAUCUGUCACUCGGGAUGUAAGAUGUAAAUGAGAGGAUGCAGAUACACAAGAGAAGAAAGGGUGGAUGGAAGAACACAGGAUGGGGCACAAAAAGGAAGCAGAGGUAAGUCGGUCAGGACUCUUUUUGGCUGGACGGCUCUGUCGGAAGAGACUUUUUCUUCUGUUCUGUUUCUUCUCUUUUGUUGACCCUUUUCUCUGGCAUUACACUUAGUUUGUUUUACUGAACACAUGGUGUUCUUUUUCCCACUUAACUUCCGUCUCUCUUGCUGUUUCUCCCCUCCUGAGCUGUUGACAUUCAGUUCAGUAUCAUACCCUUUCUGUCAGUUCACUCUACAACUUUUUCAUAGCCUACCUCAUGAGAUUCAAUGCUUUUUGUAGUUGAGUCCACAAACACACACACAAACUGUGCAGAGACUUUCAUUCAGUAUUUUUAUUCAAAGAAAGAGAGGAAACCAUUACCACUAUGUCUGGGAUAGUGGUGCCCAUUUUCUGUCCAAGGGAGCCGCUCGCUGGCCUCAAGGUUCAUCCAAAGGAUUCUCCAUCGUGUUCUUCCAUUCCUGCAAUCAGAUGCAUGGUCUCUUAGGAACCCUUGGCUCUAGAGCCCUCCUGUGGCUACUAAAGACACCGUUCUAAUUGUUUCAGGAGGAGCACGUUACUUACAACAAUAAAGGCCUUCAAGUUCACUCUUGUGAGGACCAAAGUGAAUGUCGCAGGUUUCACGCAUGACACUGGAGUGAGAUUCUCCAGACACGUUCUCACAUAACCAACCCUGAGUUUAUAUCUGAGAAAAGCGAGAGCAUGAAUGAUCUCAGACAUCAAGAACCGCAGCCAAUGUCAACCUCCCCAUUGCUGUUGACAAACUCAAACUCUGUGUUCUAAAUGUACGUAUUUUCAUGUUCAGUACAGUCUGUUUUCUGUUAUCAAUUCCCAUAAAGUAAAAAAGAAGAGAUUUUGCAAUGUUUGCUUGUCCAAGCUGCUGUUUUCCAGACUGUAACAGCAGAGGACCAAUGCAAUUCAGCAUUGUCAAUGUCAUGAUGCAUCUUCAGUGAAUAGCUUGGAUGAAAGAACAAUGUUAAGUAAAUGAAUUAUUUCUGAAUUCUAUAAUAGGAAGAGAAUGAGCCCUUUUAGGAAAGAACACUGGGAUAUUUGUCUUUGAAUGUGUUCAUGUCAUCAGUAACCCAACUGAUGCCUUAGUAUACAAUGACUUGCAAAAAGCAUGAAGUGUUAUGCAAUAGUAAUUGAAGAAAACAGGCUGUUUAACUCAGAGUAGAGGUUGGGACUUACAGGACAUUCACUUUUAUGCUCAAAAUGAUACUAAACGUCACCAUCAGUGCACCACCCUCUAUACGCGCCAAUCGCAGACGUGCCGCAGUUCCUUCACUUCAUGUAUCUACUAUGUGUUGACUAACCUGAACAGGGCCUUGGCCUGCAUAUUUGUUAAAAUAAACA